GCGUCGCGGAUCGGCGGGGAUGACCGCCCGCUGCUGGCCGGCGAGGAUCCCGUCGAACGGUGGACGCGGAUCUACGCCGCGCGGCGCCCC
rnacentral:tRNA from 1 species